rnacentral:rRNA from 1 species
CCUACGGGAGGCAGCAGUGGGGAAUAUUGCACAAUGGGGGAAACCCUGAUGCAGCGACGCCGCGUGAGUGAAGAAGUAUUUCGGUAUGUAAAGCUCUAUCAGCAGGGAAGAGAAUGACGGUACCUGAGUAAGAAGCCCCGGCUAACUACGUGCCAGCAGCCGCGGUAAUACGUAGGGGGCAAGCGUUAUCCGGAUUUACUGGGUGUAAAGGGAGCGUAGACGGCGAAGAAAGGCUGAAGUGAAAGCCCGCGGCUCAACCGCGGAACUGCUUUGGAAAAUGUUUUGCUGGAGUACCGGAGAGGUAAGCGGAAUUCCUGGUGUAGCGGGGAAAUGCGUAGAGAUUAGGAGGAACACCAGUGGCGAAGGCGGCUUACUGGACGGUAACUGACGUUGAGGCUCGAAAGCGUGGGGAGCAAACAGGAUUAGAUACCCUUGUAGUC